rnacentral:rRNA from 1 species
AUGGCAAUUUUAGGUUUAGGGAAAAUAUGCACUGUUGCUCCUGAUCAAACCAAUUGGCCAAUAUCCAGUUAUCCUGCUAUGUGUAUGGAUUUGUUUAUGUGGAUUUGGUCUAAUCUAUGUCCUCCUGUUGAUCUACUGGUCCGUGUGUGUGUGUGUGUGUGUGUGUGUGUGUGUGUGUGUGUGUGUGUGUGUGGAGUAAAGUUGUGGUUUGUGCUUCUCCUUUGUAACAUGAUGAAACAAGCACCUGUAGCGUCUGAGUUAGUGGGUGUUUGUCUACAUGGUAAAGCUUCUUUGCCAUGUAUUUCAUAA